UACGUAGGGUGCGCGCGUUAAUCGGAAUUACUGGGCGUAAAGCGUGCGCAGGCGGGCUUUUAAGCCAGACGUGAAAUCCCCGGGCUUAACCUGGGAAUGGCGUUUGGGACUGGGAGUCUGGAGUGCGGCAGAGGAGACUGGAAUUCCUGGUGUAGCAGUGAAAUGCGUAGAUAUCAAGAGGAACACCUGAGGCGAAGGCGGGUUGCUAGGCUGACACUGACGCUGAGUGCGCGAAAGCCAGGGGAGCAAACGGG
rnacentral:rRNA from 1 species